GAUGAACGCUGGCGGCGUGCCUAAUACAUGCAAGUCGAGCGAACGGACGAGAAGCUUGCUUCUCUGAUGUUAGCGGCGGACGGGUGAGUAACACGUGGAUAACCUACCUAUAAGACUGGGAUAACUUCGGGAAACCGGAGCUAAUACCGGAUAAUAUUUUGAACCGCAUGGUUCAAAAGUGAAAGACGGUCUUGCUGUCACUUAUAGAUGGAUCCGCGCUGCAUUAGCUAGUUGGUAAGGUAACGGCUUACCAAGGCAACGAUGCAUAGCCGACCUGAGAGGGUGAUCGGCCACACUGGAACUGAGACACGGUCCAGACUCCUACGGGAGGCAGCAGUAGGGAAUCUUCCGCAAUGGGCGAAAGCCUGACGGAGCAACGCCGCGUGAGUGAUGAAGGUCUUCGGAUCGUAAAACUCUGUUAUUAGGGAAGAACAUAUGUGUAAGUAACUGUGCACAUCUUGACGGUACCUAAUCAGAAAGCCACGGCUAACUACGUGCCAGCAGCCGCGGUAAUACUUAGGUGGCAAGCGUUAUCCGGAAUUAUUGGGCGUAAAGCGCGCGUAGGCGGUUUUUUAAGUCUGAUGUGAAAGCCCACGGCUCAACCGUGGAGGGUCAUUGGAAACUGGAAAACUUGAGUGCAGAAGAGGAAAGUGGAAUUCCAUGUGUAGCGGUGAAAUGCGCAGAGAUAUGGAGGAACACCAGUGGCGAAGGCGACUUUCUGGUCUGUAACUGACGCUGAUGUGCGAAAGCGUGGGGAUCAAACAGGAUUAGAUACCCUGGUAGUCCACGCCGUAAACGAUGAGUGCUAAGUGUUAGGGGGUUUCCGCCCCUUAGUGCUGCAGCUAACGCAUUAAGCACUCCGCCUGGGGAGUACGACCGCAAGGUUGAAACUCAAAGGAAUUGACGGGGACCCGCACAAGCGGUGGAGCAUGUGGUUUAAUUCGAAGCAACGCGAAGAACCUUACCAAAUCUUGACAUCCUUUGACAACUCUAGAGAUAGAGCUUUCCCCUUCGGGGGACAAAGUGACAGGUGGUGCAUGGUUGUCGUCAGCUCGUGUCGUGAGAUGUUGGGUUAAGUCCCGCAACGAGCGCAACCCUUAAGCUUAGUUGCCAUCAUUAAGUUGGGCACUCUAAGUUGACUGCCGGUGACAAACCGGAGGAAGGUGGGGAUGACGUCAAAUCAUCAUGCCCCUUAUGAUUUGGGCUACACACGUGCUACAAUGGACAAUACAAAGGGCAGCGAAACCGUGAGGUCAAGCAAAUCCCAUAAAGUUGUUCUCAGUUCGGAUUGUAGUCUGCAACUCGACUACAUGAAGCUGGAAUCGCUAGUAAUCGUAGAUCAGCAUGCUACGGUGAAUACGUUCCCGGGUCU
rnacentral:rRNA from 1 species